ensembl:rRNA 5S_rRNA 5S ribosomal RNA
AUCUAUGGUCAUAGCACUCUGAAUGUGUCCAGUUUUAUCUCAUCUUGGAAGCUAAGCAGGGUAGGGCCUGGUUGGUACUUGGGUGAGAGAAGGGAAAGAAGACCAUCCAUG